rnacentral:misc_RNA from 1 species
GAUGAAGAACGUAGCGAAAUGCGAUAAGUAGUGUGAAUUGCAGAAUUCAGUGAAUCAUCGAAUCUUUGAACGCACAUUGCGCCCCUUGGUAUUCCAUGGGGCAUGCCUGUUCGAGCGUCAUUUGUACCUUCAAGCUUUGCUUGGCGUUGGGUGUUUGUCUCGCCUUUGCGUGUAGACUCGCCUUAAAAUAAUUGGCAGCCGGCGUAUUGAUUUCGGAGCGCAGUACAUCUCGCGCUUUGCACUCAUAACGACAGCGUCCAAAAGUACAUUUUACACUCUUGACCUCGGAUCAGGUAGGGAUACCCGCUGAACUUAAGCAUAUCAAUAAGCGGAGGA